rnacentral:misc_RNA from 1 species
GCACCUCAACUCUCAUGGCUUGCCAUGAUGAGCUUGGACUUUGGGGGUCUUGCUGGCCUGCGGUCGGCUCCUCUCAAAUGAAUCAGCUUGCCAGUGUUUGGUGGCAUCACAGGUGUGAUAACUAUCUACGCUUGUGGUUUUCCACCAGGUAACCUUCAGUGAUGGAGGUUCGCUGGAGCUCAUAAAUGUCUCUCCUCGGUGAGGACAGCUCUUUGAAC